rfam:Myotis davidii contig53790, whole genome shotgun sequence.
GGUGGUUCUCAGGUGAUGUACCCUGGAAUUGGGCUCCCUCUUCUCUAGUUCUGGGAGCAUCACCCAAGAACCGCA